rnacentral:rRNA from 1 species
GGGUUAGUAGGUUGGUCAUGCCUCUGGUAUGUACUGGUCUCACUGAUUCCUCCUUCCUGAUGAGCCGUAAUGCCAUUAAUUUGGUGUUGCAGGGAAUUUGACUGUUACUUUGAAAAAUUAGAGUGUUUAAAGCAAGCUAACGCUUGAAAACAUUAGCAUGGAAUAAUGAAAUAGGACGUUCGAUCCUAUUUUGUUGGUUUCUAGAGUCGCCGUA